ACUGAUGCCGGAUUUAAUAUCAGCCUUCAACUACAUGAAGGAUGGAUAAUUACAAAGAGGUUGGAGCUAGACUGUUUUCAGUGGUGGCAGAUGACAGAACAA